GAUAUUUUUGAAGAUCAAGGAGUUAAGGUGAUUUUAUAAAUGAUGUUAUGGUUUUUGCAUGAUGAGUCCUUUUCAAAGAAUUUAUUAUUUAUAUUUUUCAGGGUGUCCUACAUGUCUAAUCAGGUUGACAGAAGUGGAAGAUGGUCUAGUGGUACCAUGCUGUAUGAAUGAUACUCUUUAAUAAGUUUAACAUGUAGAAGUGUAUAAUGUUCUGUGGAUUCAUAUGAUGAGAAUGCCAGUGUUGAUCUGUAUGAUUAGAUUAAACACAGGUAGUGAUACCUUCAGAUAUACCUGUGAAAUCUUCAGUGUCACCAUUCAGCUAUGAUUCAAGAUCAGUGUCUGCAACAUACACAGUUUAGUAUAGAGGAGCGGACUGAAUCAAUUUCGUUACAUAUUUACUGUUAAUGUAGGACACACAUGUAGAGACAGCAAGUCCUGUCCAGCCGUGCAUGUACAUGUGAUUCAGAAACUCUGAAAAUACGUAAACAUUACACUGUUAUAAUUUUCAAAAUACUGUGUCUUGUAGGGUAUCAAUAUUGUUUUGUCUCAGUUUAUAGCACAGUAUGUUCACAAAUUUAACUAAGAUCAUAGUGUCAGUAUUAUUAAAAUCACUAAUUUUUGUAUGGUGACAAAAUUUAAUUUCAUGCAAUACCACAGUAAAACGUUUGAUAAUUUUUGCUUUUGAAGGUGUAAGUUUAAGGUUAGCAUAAAUUGUUAAUCUCCUUCAUAAAUCUAAAAGGUGAUUAGUCAUUAUAAUUGCAAUAUCAUUUUAGUAUGACAAAGUUUAUAUUGAACUAAAACACCAGUGUAAAUUUUUGAACUACCCAAUGCAUUUUCUUCAGUCUUAAAACAUUUGUUUAUCGUAAGUGUCAUGGUUCAUAACUCCUCCAUAUUACUUGUGUUUUGUCCUUUUUAGUUUCACUGAAGAAUAGGUAGAGGUAUUGCACAUCCAUUUUUUAGCAUCCCGAUUUUGUAAAGUGUUGUAUGUAAGCUUUUAUCUCAGAAUUAUGUCUCAUCAAAAGGUGGGGAGACGUAUUGUUUUUGCCUUCUCGUCUGUCCGCAUUAAGCCUGUCUAGCUUUUAAAGGACAAGCUGCUGGCCAGAUUUCGAUGAAACUACACAGGACUGAUCAGUACCAAGCAUAGAGUUGUGCAUAUCGCUUGCAUGUUCCGUUUUGCUGCACUAAACUGCAGCCAGAGCUAAAAAUAGA